GACGAACCGUGCGAACGUUGUUCGGAAUCACUGGGCUUAAAGGGCGCGUAGGCGGGCUGCCAAGUCCGCGGUGAAAUCCCCCGGCUCAACCGGGGAACUGCCGCGGAUACUGGAAGUCUCGAGGGAGGUAGGGGCAUGCGGAACUGCGGGUGGAGCGGUGAAAUGCGUUGAUAUCCGCAGGAACUCCGGUGGCGAAGGCGGGUAGCUGGGCCGACACUGACGCUGAUGCGCGAAAGCCAGGGGAGCGAACGGG
rnacentral:rRNA from 1 species